rnacentral:rRNA from 1 species
GUAAAGCACUUUCAGUAGGGAGGAAGGUAGUGUAGUUAACACCUGCAUUAUUUGACGUUACCUACAGAAGAAGCACCGGCUAACUCCGUGCCAGCAGCCGCGGUAAGUACGGAGGGUGCGAGCGUUAAUCGGAAUUACUGGGCGUAAAGCGCAUGCAGGCGGCCUGUUAAGUCAGAUGUGAAAGACCCGGGGCGUUAACCUCGGAAUUGCAUUUGUAAACUAGGCAGGCUAGAGUCUUGUAGAGGGGGGUAGGAAUUUCAGGUGUAGCGGUGAAAUGCGUAGAGAUCUGAAGGAAUACCAGUGGCGAAGGCGGCCCCCCUCGGACAAAGACUGACGCUCAGAUGCGAAAGCGUGGGGAGCAAACAGGAUUAGAUACCCCUGGUAG